UUGGAGGGCAAGUCUGGUGCCAGCAGCCGCGGUAAUUCCAGCUCCAAUAGCGUAUAUUAAAGUUGUUGCAGUUAAAGAGCUCGUAGUUGAAUUUCGGGGUUAGUAGGUUGGUCGUGCCUCAGGUAUGUACUGAUCUCACUGAUUCCUCCUUCCUGAUGAACCGUAAUGCCAUUAAUUUGGUGUUGCGGGGAAACUGGACUGUUACUUUGAAAAAAUUAGAGUGUUUAAAGCAGGCUAACGCUUGAAUACAUUAGCAUGGAAUAAUGAAAUAGGACGUUCGAUCCUAUUUUGUUGGUUUCUAGGAUUGACGUAAUGAUUAAUAGGGAUAGUUGGGGGCAUUAGUAUUCAAUUGUCAGAGGUGAAAUUCUUGGAUUUAUUGAAGACUAACUACUGCGAAAGCAUUUGCCAAGGAUGUUUUCAUUAGUCAAGAACGAAAGUUAGGGGAUCGAAGACGAUCAGAUACCGUCGUAGUCUUAACCAUAAACUAUGCCGACUAGGGAUCGGAUGAUGUUAAUUUUUUAAUGACUCAUUCGGCGCCUUACGGGAAA
rnacentral:rRNA from 1 species